rnacentral:rRNA from 1 species
GACGAACGCUGGCGGCGUGCUUAACACAUGCAAGUCGAACGGAAAGGCCCUGCUUUUGUGGGGUGCUCGAGUGGCGAACAGGUGAGUAACACGUGAGUAACCUGCCCUUGACUUUGGGAUAACUUCAGGAAACUGGGGCUAAUACCGGAUAGGAGCUCCUGCUGCAUGGUGGGGGUUGGAAAGUUUCGGCGGUUGGGGAUGGACUCGCGGCUUAUCAGCUUGUUGGUGGGAUAGUGGCUUACCAAGGCUUUGACGGGUAGCCGGCCUGAGAGGGUGACCGGCCACAUUGGGACUGAGAUACGGCCCAGACUCCUACGGGAGGCAGCAGUGGGGAAUAUUGCACAAUGGGCGGAAGCCUGAUGCAGCAACGCCGCGUGCGGGAUGACGGCCUUCGGGUUGUAAACCGCUUUCGCCUGUGACGAAGCGUGAGUGACGGUAAUGGGUAAAGAAGCACCGGCUAACUACGUG